rnacentral:rRNA from 1 species
CCUACCUGGUUGAUCCUGCCAGUAGUCAUAUGCUUGUUUCAAAGACUAAGCCAUGCAUGUCUAAGUCCAAGCUGUGUGUCGUGGGUGAAAGCUUGCACACACGGCGAAACCGCGGACGGCUCAUUAAAUCAGUCGUGGUCCAAAUGGGCUAGUGUUAUCUUACUUGGAUAACUGUGGUAAUUCCAGAGCUAAUACAUGCAACUGUAAGUCCGAGCGGCUUGUGUGGUAACACACUCGCUGCGACGACUGCUUUUAUUAGACCAAACCGCUGAGAGAUGCGCACAUGUGUGUGUGUCUCGUAGACUCGUGUUAUGGUGACUCUGAAUAACACCUCAUGACAAGCGCACGUAUCCAUUUAUUUGGGACGGCGCUGCCACUUUCGAGUGUCUGCCUUAUCAGCUAUGAAUCGUUCGUUAUGUGCGACCGAUGGCUUUGACGGGUAACGGGGAAUCAGGGUUCGAUUCCGGAGAGGCAGCCUGAGAAACGGCUACCACGUCCAAGGACGGCAGCAGGCACGCAAAUUACCCAAUCCCAGCAACUGGGGGAGGUAGUGACGAAAUCUAACGAUGCGGGCGCCCCUUCUGGGCCCCCGCAAUCGGAAUGAGCGUUUUUUUCUAAACAUACCGUUGAGAACCUACUGAAGGGCAAGUCUGGUGCCAGCAGCCGCGGUAAUUCCAGCUUCAGCAGCAUCUACUAAAGUUGCUGCGGUUAAAAGGCUCGCAGUUGAAUGUCAGUAUCAAGUGCAGCGAUGGUGGACGUUGGAGUGUGGGUUAGUUUGUUGGCGUUAGUGCUUGGCUUCACGGCUCUGUGCAACCUCGGCUUCUGCUCGCUUUAACUCCCGUCCGUAACAAGCCUCCUCACUUGCUUACAAAAUGGAAUCUAAUGGUGGAAGUGUUUUAUACGGUUCAUUCGCGAGCUCUCGCGCGUGCUCGCUUUUACGUGGGUGCGUCUUGGGUGAGUGGGUGUGACUGUGUCUCUGUAAGCUGGAUUUCAAUGUCACCUUGAGUAAAUCAGAGUGCUCAAAGCAGUCGUAAAGGAUGUGCGGCGUUAACGCGUCGUACGUUCUGUGAUGAAUGUCUAUUAUGACAGACAGUCUUGAUUUUGCAUGGUAUGUCGAAAGACGCCGUAUUUCCUGUUGGUAACGAGUCUGGUGCGGGCUUGCAUCCAGGGGCCUCUCUCUCUAUCUCUUCGCGGAGUAAGGGCAGUGCGCCUUUGAGUGUGACACACGAGACCAACAGGUGCGGAAUGAUUAAAAGGUUCGGCCGAGGGCAUCGGUAUUGCGAGGCGAGAGGUGAAAUUCUAUGACCCCCGCAAGACCUCCUGAAGCGAAAGCGUCUGCCAAGGACGUUUUCAUUAAUCAUGAACGAAAGUUAGAGGAUCGAAGGCGAUCGGAUACCGCCCUAGUUCUAACCCUAAACGAUGCCAACCAUCAAUCCGCGCGUAGCACCCUUUCUAACGGGCUCGGCGGGCAGCUCCCCAUUCACGGGAAACCAGAGUCUCUGGGUUCCGGGGGGAGUCUGGUUGCAAAGCUGAAACUUAAAGGAAUUGACGGAAAGGCACCACCAGGCGUGGACUGCGGCUUAGUUUGACUCAACACGGGCCAUCUCACCAGGCCAGCACUCUUGUACGAUUGACAGAUUGAGAGUUCUUUCUCGAUUCAGUGGAUGGUGGUGCAUGGCCGUUCUUAGUUGGUGGAGUGAUCUGUCUGGUUAAUUCCGAUAACGAACGAGACUCUCCCCUGCUAAAUAGUCGGUUGGAUUUUGCGUUCGAGGGUGUCGUGUGACUUGUGUGUUUUGUGUUGGUGUGCAUUUAUAUGUGCGCUCGCGCGGCUCCUCGUUGCACCUCCCUCCAAGUCCGCCGCUUACUUACACAAGUGGAGUGUAACAGCGAAGCUAUAUGAGUAAAACUCUUCUUAGAGGGAUUCACGGUUCCGAAGCCGUAAGAAACUGAGAGCAAUAACAGGUCUGUGAUGCCCUUAGAUGUUCUGGGCCGCACGCGCGCUACAAUGCCGGGCACAGCAGGUAUCUAUCCUUCUCCGAGAGGAGUGGGUAACCCUCUGAAAGCCCUUGAAACAAUUUACCAGAGUAGGGUCAUCACUUCGCGUGUUGUCUCUGCUUCCCUGGCUUGCUUGGGCCUGUGGCUUGCAAUUUUUUCACACAAACGAGGAAUGCCUAGUAGCGGCGGAUCACGGAGUUCGCUGUGACUCAGUUCCUGCCCUUUGUACACACCGCCCGUCGCUACUACCGAUUGGGUGUACCAGUGAGAUCCUUGGACUGGCGAGCCUUGUGCUUUAGCAAUAGAGUGCAAGUGUGUACGACGGAAAGAGGUUCGAACUGGUGCACUUAGAGGAAGUAAAAGUCGUAACAAGGUUUCCGUAGUGAACCUGCGGAAGGAUCAUUA